rnacentral:rRNA from 1 species
CCUACGGGCGGCUGCAGUGGGGAAUAUUGGACAAUGGGGGGAACCCUGAUCCAGCCAUGCCGCGUGUGUGAAGAAGGCCCUCGGGUUGUAAAGCACUUUCAGUGAGGAAGAACGCCUGGUGGUUAAUACCCAUCAGGAAAGACAUCACUCACAGAAGAAGCACCGGCUAACUCCGUGCUAGCAGCCGCGGUAAUACGGAGGGUGCGAGCGUUAAUCGGAAUUACUGGGCGUAAAGCGCGCGUAGGUGGCUUGAUAAGCCGGUUGUGAAAGCCCCGGGCUCAACCUGGGAACGGCAUCCGGAACUGUCAAGCUAGAGUGCAGGAGAGGAAGGUAGAAUUCCCGGUGUAGCGGUGAAAUGCGUAGAGAUCGGGAGGAAUACCAGUGGCGAAGGCGGCCUUCUGGACUGACACUGACACUGAGGUGCGAAAGCGUGGGUAGCAAACAGGAUUAGAUACCCUUGUAGUC